rnacentral:tRNA from 1 species
GGAUUUGUGCCUGAACACUAUAGGGUCACUUUGAUAGAGUGAAUCAUGCGGGUUAAAAUCCCGCCGAAUCCU